AACAAAUUUUAAAAGUAUUCGGUUUGGAUGAUCUGGAAAUCCGUCUAAUGUAAUUGUAUUAAUAUAAUUUUGGAAUAUUUCAUGGAUUUAUUAUAUUGAUGAAUUAACAAUUGAAAACAAUAAAAUUACAAUAGCUUUGCUUAUUAAAUGAAUAAAAAUGUUAUACCGAUUAGCAAGUAUAUAUUUUCAUAUUGCAGGUCUAGAAAUGUUAUGCAAUAAAAAAUUUGAUUCAAAAAAAUGAAAGGAAACAAAAACUUUUGCUUGUCAUUUUAUUCGGAGAAUGGCUGAAUUCAUUUGAGCGUGUACAGUUUUGUUUAUAAUUUGUGAAGAGAUGAAAAUAAUGAAACUGUAUGGUGCAGAAAGUGUCUUUUUCAUUACAGUUUCUGCUGCUGGGCAAGCGGCUUCUGUACCGUGAAAUGAAGCUUAUGAUAAAUAAAAUACUGCUGCUUGCUGGUCACUGAUUCAAGAUCGUUCAGUGGCUACCAUUGGCCAAUCUUACCAACGGGAUAUAAUAAGAACUGAUGCAGGUUUAUGCACCCGUAGCCAAGUAACAGCAAUGCGAGUUAAAAUGAGUUAAAAUUAAGUUUUACCUGAAUUAAAAUUAAUUUGAAAAUAAAAAAAUU